CAGCCUUGACCUCACAAGUCCCCUCAAAGGGUCUCAGGAACCUGGAGGUGCACGGACCUCAGGGGGAGAAGCCCUGGUGUAGGCCACAUCCCUGCCCCAGUGAUCACUAUGACCAGCUGGAAGAAGUGGAACAUUCACCUGUGACCCCAGCAGUGCUGUUCCUCCAGAGAGACUCCCACACCCAUGUGUGAACCAGAGAGUCAGACACAAGCAUGUGCACGACGCUAUCAUCCACCUUCACCAUUUGGAGGCAACCUGAAGGACAGAACUGACAAGUGAACCAUGUGCCGCUUAUAUAACAGAACACUACCCGAUGGGCAGCAUGUGCCCAGCUCAAAAAAAAGAGAGAGAGAGAGAGAGACGGAGACAGAGAAAGAAAAAGAAAACACUGCAUAUUCCAGCCUCCCUGCAGUGACAUGGCCUUAUCGGCAAAUUGGAGGCAAAAAGAACUGGGUGGGAAAGACUGACGGAGCUGCAGCAGCCCUCUUGUGAUCCUAAGGCCUCCUUGUGGAUGGAAAACAACACUAAGAUGGCACAGCAUAAAGGUAGAGGGAGCCUGGGCACUGAUGAUACUGUGGAGCCCCCCACCAGCCCUCACAUUUUGUCGGGGAAAAAUGAUCUCUCUUCGUUUAAGCCACUUGGGUCCAGGUUAUGUCCACUCACAGCAAGGCGACCUCCCGCACCCAUGGCUCCUCAAGCACGCUGGGAGCACGCUGCCUCUCACCACACAUGCAAAUGGCAGUUGUCCCAAUUCCCUUACUUGCUAAUCCCUUUCUGCUUUUUGCCUUUUCAUAGUCUACAUUCCCAGCUUGUUGAGCUGCUUUUUUUUUUUUUUCCCUCCACUUGGUGCCAAAUAAUGAAAUUUUAGUACUUAGCCUUGAAAACUCUAAGCUUUUCUUACUGCUGGUAAAAGAAAUCUCAGCAAGAUAAGAAGCAAAAAAAUGUUCCCGCUUUCCCUACAGCUGCAAAAACACAGACGCUCCUCGGAAUCAUAAAGCUGGUUCCGAUAAGUGGGGGAUUGAAAACGGUCACUGAAGAAACCACGCAUGUUCUCCUCUUCAGUGUGGAGACGGAUGUGAAAAUGUAAAGCCCUAUUCUAUUUUCUGCCAGUGUGAACGUGUCCUUAGAGGGGUAAUUUGCACAAAGGAGCCUUGUAAGAUGACUGGCCUUUGGGCCUGGCUGCCGUGUCCUGUGAAACAUGACCUCAGCCCUCACAGGCUGCAAGGCCCAGGACUGGGGGGUGCCUUAUGUGAUCGUUUCUCACCCUGCUGAUGAUAUUUAGGUUCUGGAAUUCCUGGGUCAAAACUUAAGAGGAUCAUUGCUGCUUGCAUGAAGGAAAAAAUUAAUAAAAGCUGAGGUGUUGGUAGAUUAUUUGAACCAAGAUUUUG